rnacentral:rRNA from 1 species
GAACUGCGAUACCUAGUGUGAAUUGCAGAAUUCAGUGAAUCAUCGAGUCUUUGAACGCAAAUGGCGCCGUCGGUCCAAGCCGGCGGCACGUCUGUCUGAGCGUCCUGU